GCGCAGUCGCAGUGAACACGACCAAGCAAUACAACCGUAUUGGAAAGCGGCGUCGGAGAAACGAUGCAAUGGGCAAGUGAGGUCCUUAAACUAUUGCAACCUCGGUAUCGCUCGCCAAUACUGCAUUAUCACUAUCAUCCUAACCCUGCACGUGUUUUCGGGUCGAGUCGUCUGCAAAUAGCGUAUCUCCGGACUGGGCCGAAAAUGCCCGAUUUUUUGUUUCUGUGAAGUGCAUCUCCGAAAAUUUGAAUCGUUCGAUACACAUCUAUCUUGAAGUGAACCGGCGUCUGUGAAUGGUGACUCGACAUUGCAUCUACUAUCAUGCUUCGAGUAUGCAAUCUCAUGUGGAGGUGGUUGCUUUGGGUCCAAGUACUCCUAGUAAUCAUUAAAGUCUCCGCGGUUGCCGAUUUGAGUGGAGGUCUAUGUCAUGAAUUUCGGUAGAAGUCCAGGUUAUCCGGAUCUGUUGUUUUCCUUUGUAGGGCAAGUAAUUUAAACUUUUUAUCAGUUUAUUUAUGGCAUACUUUUUUUAAAAACAAAAAUCUGUUUCCUGAUUACUGCUCCUGCCUGAGGCCGAGCGGAUAAGACCGCUGACUUCUGACAAUUCAACCCGGGUUCAAACAAAAUAGUUUAGGUAUUGAUUCAAAUCUUAGCGAAUGGGCUGGUUGCCUGGAUGUUUUCGCGGUUUUCUUCAUGUCAAAGUUCCCAUGCCAUACUGUCAACACUGAAAUAUGAAAACCCGGAAGGUCGUGUCGUCUAAAACCAGGUAGCACCAUUAAAAAAAAAAAAAAAAA